rnacentral:rRNA from 1 species
AUGGCGCAGGAUUCUUGGGACGCAGACAAGAUCAGCUUGGAUGUGUACAUCCAUGACUACCUGGUGAAGCGGAACUUGCAGAACACUGCAAAGGCGUUCCAAGCCGAAUCCAAUCUUUCUCCAGAUCCUGUUGCAAUUGACGCCCCAGGGGGUUUCCUCUUCGAGUGGUGGUCGGUCUUCUGGGACAUCUUCAUUUCAAGGACCAACGACAAGCAUUCCGAUGUUGCUACUUCGUACAUUGAGACACAGUCGAUUAAAGCUCGAGAGCACCAGUCAUCAUUGCAGCAACAGCAGCAACAUCCUCAUUCCCAGCAGUCAGCACAGCAGAUCCAAAUGCAGCAACUCAUGCUACAGAGGCAGCAGCAGGAGCAGCAACAACAGGAGCAGACCCAACAACAGCAACAACAUCCUCAGCAGCAGCGGCAGCAGCAACGUCGCCAGCAGAAGCAACAGCAGCGUAAUGAGAGCAGUUAUUUGCCCACAAGUCCCCAGAAUGGUUCAGUAUCUGCUGAUCCUCCAACACAACCAAAUACUGUAACAACAAGUUCUUUGUCUGCAAAGGCGUAUGAAGAGAGAAUGAAGAUUUCUGCGCAGAGGGACACCUUGGAUGAGGCAUCAGUAAAGCAAAGGUUUAAUGAAAAUGCUGGGCAGCUUCUGGAAUCAAAUCCGGCAUCUUUACUGAAGUCCGCAGCAUUCUCAGCUCAGGCUUCCGGGCAAAUAUUUCAAGGAUCAGCUGGUGGAGUGUCAGGUACUUUGCAACAAGCUCAGGCCAGGAACCUACAGCUUCAGGGAUCAACACAGGAAAUCAAGGCAGAUUCAAACGCCACUCUAAAUCUUAGGGGUGCAGGAGCAGACGGAUCAUUACUUGGAGUACCAGGCACUAAUCCAGCAGGGCACAAUAUGACCUUGAAAGGGUGGCCUCUCACGGGUUUAGAUCAGUUUCGAUCUGGAUUUCUCCAACAGAAAUCUUUUAUGCAGAAUCCCCAAGCAUUGCAACAUCUUCAGUUUCUCACUCAACAGCAGCAACAGUUGCUGCUUCAAGCACAGCAAAAUAUUACAUCUUCAUCUGGAGAGAUGGAUGCCCGAAGGCUUCGGGUGCUUUUGAGCAGUCGAAGGGAUGGUCAGUCAAACGCAUUCACAGAUAUUAUUCCUAGUGUGGGGCCUUCACUGCAGAACAUGUAUUCACAUGUGCAGCCAAUGGAGACAGAUAUGCUGAUGAAGAAGAUAGCUGCUUUACAGCAGCAACGGCAAAGCAGCAAUCAGCAACAGCUCCUUCAACAAUCAUUACUUAGCCAGCUACCACAAAGCUCAAAUCACUUCUCAGGCAAUCAUGAAAAAAUGGUGCCUGGGAGUGUUUCUAUGGAUGGAAGCUUGUGCUAUUCCUUUCGUGGAAAUGAACAGGCUUCCAAGAAUCAAAAUGGGCGAAAACGCAAACAACCUAUCUCAUCAUCCGGUCCAGCUAACAGCUCUGGUACUAUGAAUACUACUGGCCCCUGCCCCAGCUCAGCACCCUCAACUCCUUCCACAGAUACUCCAGGAGACACCAUAUCAAUGCCACCGAUGCACCACAAUGCUAGUAUAUCGAAGGCCUUAGUUGUUUUUGGUUCUGAUGCCCCAGGCACAAGGGAAUCGCCAACAAACCAGAUUGCUGACAUGGAUCGCUUGGUGGAGGAUGACAGCUUGGGAGAUAACGUGGACUCGUUCUUGUCACAUGAUGAUGCUGCAGGUCCAAGUGAUGCCCGCAGCCGUUGUAUGGCUUCUUCUAAAGGAUUCACCUUCCGAGAGGUUUCUUCAGCUCGAGCAAGCACCAACAAGGUUGUAUGUUGUCACUUCUCAUCAGAUGGAAAUCUACUUGCUACUGGGGGUCAUGAUAAGAAGGUGGUAUUGUGGAAUGCUGAAACUUUAAAACAAAAGGCAGUAUUGGAGGAGCAUUCUCUUCUGAUAACCGAUGUACGGUUCGGUCCAAGCAUCCCACGUAUUGCUACAUCAUCAUUUGACAAAACUGUCAGGGUCUGGGAUGUCGACAAUCAAGAUGAUACAGUCCAUACGUUUACCGGGCACUCAGCAUCUGUUAUGUCGGUGGAUUUUCACCCAAACAAGGAUGACCUCAUUUGUUCUUGUGAUGGGAAUGGUGAGAUACGGCUCUGGAGUAUCAGCAGCGGAAGGGCUGUCCGAAAUUUCAAGGGAGGUUCAAGCCAGCUGAGAUUUCAGCCACGUCAUGGUGGAUUUCUUGCAGCAGCUUCAGAGAAUGUUGUAUCUAUACUGGAUGUGGAAACACAAGCUUGUGUUAGGAUAUUUGAGGGUCACACAGAGCAUGUUGAUUCACUUUGUUGGAGCCCCACGGGUGACUAUGUUGUCUCUACCAGUGAAGACACGGUAAAAGUAUGGUCUGUGAAUUCUGGGAAUGAGAACUGCGUGCAAGAGCUCAACAGCACUGGGAGCAAGUUUCAUGCAUGCGCUUUCCACCCUAAGUAUCCAUCUUUGCUCAUCAUCGGUUGCUACCAGUCUCUGGAGCUGUGGGACAUGGUGGAGAACAGGAGCAUGACCGUCGCGGCGCACGACGGCCUCAUCUCUGCCUUGGCCUCCUCAAGCUCCGGCCUGGUGGCUUCAGUGAGCCAUGACAAGCACGUGAAGCUGUGGAAAUGA